CUUGAGGUGCGGGGCAGUGGGACGGCAGCUGCGUUGGAAGGUGGGCGUGGAGGAAGAGGCUUGUGGUGGAUGGUGAGAAAGUUCAUUCUGAGUAGAACAUAUGAACCAGUCUCACUGAGUUUCGAGUGGAGUGCUUGAGGAAGAGGAGGAAGAGCAGACAGUGGGGCCGGCAGCUGCAUUUGAAGGGGCGCACGAGGAUGGAUGGAGUUAAGGAGGAUGGAGAGGAGUUCACGCGAAGCGUUCGAGGAAGGAGCUGAGGAACGGACAGGAAGGACGGCAGACGGAAGUACGAGAAGGGAUACAGCUAAGGAGGACGGAGAGGUGGUAUGGGAGUAGUAGCUCUGUCUCGCCUACCACGUACUUUCCCGACAGUCGUAUGACUGCAAGCGUGAAGCAGAAAGAUACUGAUUGAUAGGUGCCUAAUUCGACUGGAUGGCAGCAUAGAAACGGUUACAGGUGGCUCGGGAUCACUCCUGAAUCCAGGCCUUUGGAUCGGCAACUUCUGUAGAAGACAAACAGAAUACAACCAGAAAAAAAAAAAAAAAACGAAUAGUGUCAUCUUCACUAAUUGUCCCUACAUCUGGCACGCCGCUUUCUCUCCAGAAACUUCAAUCAUCCGUUCAUUCUUCUCUCUACACAAUCAUCAUCCAUUCCCUUCCUGUCUUCUCCACUCUUUCAUUCCUAUUAUUCUCUAACUCAGAAUCACUUGCAUCAUCUCUCCUGUCUCUCUCUCAUACCUCUCACACUCCCAUAUCCUCUUCCAUGUCAGACGUCUGGCACACUUUGCUGCGGGACUCAGACCAUCUGUAAUUCCUUGCAUUCACAUCCAUGUACCUUUACUCGAAAAGAGAUCACCACCACCCAGGUUUCCAUCAUACCACCUUUUGCAUACAUCCAAUUCCAGACUGCUCUUUCGUUCCAUCUCAUUCUUCCGUUCAUUCGGUCCCACCCACUUCUCUGUCCAUUCAUUCCCCAGCCUGCCGCCUCUUGUCACGACCCAUUCACGGUCAUUUUUUACUCCCAGCCAUUCUCAUCACCCACUCCACUCUCUCAUUCUCAUGCAGCUCUUCCUCCAUUUGCUUUCCACUUUCAUUCCACAGAUACAUCUUUUCUUGCUGGUCUUGCAUCCAUCCAUUCUUUCAAGCCUAAUCUUGUACCCAACUGUCGCUUUUGUAAGUCUUUCCCUAAAUGUGCUCCAUCCCAUAUCACCUUUCAAAGCCUUUCACUUGCCCAUCCUUCUAACUUACCAAUUUCACUCUCAUUCCAUGACCUUAUUCACAAUUAUCCCUACCUAUGACCUUAUUCACAAUCAUCAUUACCUUACUUUUCUCACUGCUAAACCUAACAACUCCAAGUCCACACAUCUUACCAUUCAUUCUCCACACUUACUCCUGCAUAUUCAUUCAUUCUCAUUCUGGCUGCCAACCCUUUGUAUACAAGUUGAGAGUUUUGGUGACAAUAUAUACAUCCUUACCUAACUCCUCUCACACUCUUCAUUCACCCAGUCUGUAUUUAUUAGCUCUAGUGUCAACCAACAUACACAUACUAUUUUUAUUUAGUAUUUAUUUAGUAUUUAGUAUUUUUAUUUAUUUAUUUUUAUACAACCAUUGAAGAACACUAUGUGACCACGAAGAACACUAUGUGACCACAAGUUAUGAAGCACAACCUAGAAAAAAAAGUCUUAAUUCUAA